AGUGAACGCUGGCGGUAGGCCUAACACAUGCAAGUCGAACGGCAGCACAGUAAGAGCUUGCUCUUACGGGUGGCGAGUGGCGGACGGGUGAGGAAUACAUCGGAAUCUACUUUUUCGUGGGGGAUAACGUAGGGAAACUUACGCUAAUACCGCAUACGACCUACGGGUGAAAGCAGGGGAUCUUCGGACCUUGCGCGAUUGAAUGAGCCGAUGUCGGAUUAGCUAGUUGGCGGGGUAAAGGCCCACCAAGGCAACGAUCCGUAGCUGGUCUGAGAGGAUGAUCAGCCACACUGGAACUGAGACACGGUCCAGACUCCUACGGGAGGCAGCAGUGGGGAAUAUUGGACAAUGGGCGAAAGCCUGAUCCAGCAAUACCGCGUGAGUGAAGAAGGCCUUCGGGUUGUAAAGCCCUUUUGUUGGGAAAGAAAAGCAGCAGGUUAAUACACGGCUGUUCUGACGGUACCCAAAGAAUAAGCACCGGCUAACUUCGUG
rnacentral:rRNA from 1 species